rnacentral:lncRNA from 1 species
AUCUUCAACUGUCACCCCUAGUCUACUGAAUCCAUAUUUUGCCAUAAUUUUGGCUACUCUCAUGUUGGCCCUGAUCAUCAUUGGAGUCCCAGGAAUUUCAAACUCUGCUUCAAGAGAAAUGUGGACACCUUGGGGAAAAUUAACAGACUUUCAUGGUCAUAAGAGCAUCUACUCCUUUCAGAAUGCCAGCAAAUGCACACAAGAGCUCCCAAACACUUCUUACAAUCAGGGGCAAGAUGCCCUUCCAUGCACCAAAAACCAAGGUGGAAAAGCUCCUGCCAACCUGAGCAGCACAAGGCAGAGGGGAGGCAGCGGCUGACCUCCUGGGCAACCUGCAAUGACAACCUGACAGCAGACCGGCUGGACUCUCCAGACUGCCGCCAGAUAUGUCACGGGAUGAUUCUCAGGCUCAAGAAUUUAAUAUUCUUUACAGAAAAUAAAGAGUUGGAUUCUGAUUCUGUCUCUUUUUCCGUUUUUGUUUUUUUGUUUUUUUUUAGCAUAACUCUUUUUUAAAAAAAGGAAAUCUAAUAGAGAAACCCAAUAUAUAAAAACGACCAAAGUGGAAGUCCUUUGGAUGAAACAGGGUGGCUAAUGGAGAUGGGCUGGAGCAUAUCUGCUUAGCUUUCUCUCCUUAUCCCACCCAUUUAAAGACCUCCAAUUAGUUCCUUGCAAUGCAGUUGGGCAAACACAAACUUUGGGCUGGAUAAUCUCUAAUGUAUCUCCAUUUCAAGCUCCGAUGAAGGCAAGGCUCUGCUUUUGUCAUCCCUGAAUCCCCAGGGCCUGGCAUGAUUCUGGCACAUAGCAAUCGUGUGUGUGCACACACACACACACGCACACACACACACACUAUAUACGUAUAUUUUUGAUGAACAGAUAAAUACAAGAUUUUUCAGAUGUCAUGAGAUGUGUCUAUCUAUUUCAGAUUAUAGCUCUGUGUGACCAACAGAGUUGGGUUUUCAGCAUUAACCUCCUCUUCUGACCAUCCGCCCUAUACCUUCCCCCAACUUUUCUCUGCAUGCAUAUAAAAGCCCAGCCUUAGCUUCCCCGAGAUUGCAUCUAAAACACCCAAUGUAAAUGUCUCCCAAAUGGGGAGACAGCCUGUUUUCACAGGAAUAAUUGCUUGAGCAUAGUGUCCUCCUUUGUGACAAAACUGGAAGAAAAUGCUGCGUAGUCAGAUUCCUUGCCUUUGCAUUAGGAAAGAAUUUAAAAUCUCUUUCAGUCCUUUCUUUGGCCUCAUGUAAAAAUAUAGCUUUUCUCUUCAAGCUUGGGGCUAAGUAAAAAAAAAU